rnacentral:rRNA from 1 species
UACGAAGGUGGCAAGCGUUGUUCGGAUUCACUGGGCGUACAGGGUGUGUAGGCGGUUUGGUAAGCCUUCUGUUAAAGCUUCGGGCCCAACCCGGAAAGCGCAGAGGGUACUGCCAGGCUAGAGGGCGGGAGAGGAGCGCGGAAUUCCCGGUGUAGCGGUGAAAUGCGUAGAGAUCGGGAGGAAGGCCGGUGGCGAAGGCGGCGAUCUGGCCCAACAUUGACACUCAGACCCGAAAGUGCGGGGAUCAAACAGG